CUUGGUCCGUUCCCCUCUGAAAUUGGCUGUUUUGUCCUCAUCUGUGUAGUCUGAGGACAGAGAGAUAUGACUUCUUGCCUCGUGCUCUGCAGAAAGACCCGGAUUCCACGUGUCUAGCUGUGCUGAAACUCAGUAUGGGGAGUCCAAUCUGAUCUCCAACUUCUGAGAGUGACUGGUGCCUCUGCCUACUGAACCCUGAGAUUCCAUGCAUGCACCAUGGGGCACUAUGACGCUCUCAUUGGUCAGAGGUUCUGAGCUGAGCCUGGACCAUAAGCUGUGGUCAAGGGUGGUAAGUAUACAAGACACGGGCACAGUUUCUGUCCUCAGGCAAGAGGGAGGCAGGAACUGUGUGCCCCAUUCAGGAUCUGGUGGGGACAGAGCUCAGGCCACAGCCAACUACAGGAUCAGUGGACAGGGCAGGUCUGCUGUGACAGGCAUAUGCCAAGAGCUACCCAUGAUGCUCCUGGGGGUGCAGAGUUCCUUGAGAGGAAAGGUGACCCCAGAAGUCUCCUUGAAGGCAUGUAGGUUCAGCUAGAGUGGACCGAGAAGCAUCUGGAAGGCUUAGAGAGGCACACGUGUGGGUGUGCCUGUGAGGGUCGUUGUCAGAAGUUCCCAGAGGAUUAACUAAGGGGAAGGGCCGCCCUGCAUGUGGGUGGUACCAGCCAAUACCUAGGUCUAGGGCUCCCUCUCCCUCCCUCCCACCUCCUCCUCUCUCCCGCCCCUUGUCGUCCCUUCCCCAUUCAGGGAGGGUCUUCUCACCUCACUUAACCUCAUCUAGGAAUUCUCUUGCAAAAAUGUCUAGAGCUGGGUUUCUAUGACGCUUCUAAAUCCAGUUACCCCGACAGUAAAGCUCAACCCUCACACACCGGUAGCUGAAAUUGUGGAGAGUAAUGUCCUGAGCAGGGGCUGAACGACCAGCACUCAUUGAGUUCUUACUGUGUGGGCUCAGCAUUGCUGUAAACACAGACUCACAUAGAUGCAAACGUGUUCAAUGUGUGUUAGGGACAAUCAGCUUCCAAGUGGCCACAUUGUUGUGUGGCCAGGCUGGGCAGCCAGCACAUAGUAGGUGCCUUUAAAAAGGUGUUUUCUUCUGGUCCUACCCUGCCAGCCUUUCUGCUAUGAGUUCCCCCAAGUAAUUAGCUUUCAGUUGUCUCUAUGCUGUUCUCUAUGCAGGCCUCAGUUUCCCUAAAUGUUCCAUGAGGAAAAUGAGGCCUGGUGGCCUCUGGAGAGUCUUGUCUACCUGCGUGGUCCCACUGCUGUGGCUAUAGAGGUGUGGCCCCAGUGCUGUUGCUCUAGAGAGCUGGCUCUAAGUGACCUCAGCUUGUCACAACCCUCCACCCCACCAUCAGUGCCAGACACACCCCCUACCAGCAACCCUGGCUGUGGGCACAUGGAUUUACAUGUGGACUCGACUCAUAGACGCAUGGCCAACGGAUGCAGUCCAGCCAGCAGCAGGAGAGCCCACUGGUCAGCCAGCCACAUUUUAAUUCUGAAAAACAAAUAAGUCCUCAAAGUCAGCCUUCUCACCAAUGCCCCUAGAUGCCACCAUCUGUAAAAGGGAAGGAAAAAAAAUGAAGAAAAAAAUGGGGGAUCACCUCUCUCCUCCCCCAGCCUUUCUCUUUGUGUUCCACAAAACCAAUUACAGGUUGGAAAUGGCUGUAAUAAACUUGAUAUCCCACUUACGGGCCAAUCCCGCUGCGGCCAGGAAGUGUAAUAGUGGCGGAGAGUGGAAACUGCGGGUUUGUGGAGCUGUUUAAAUUGCCUGCCUACAUUACUCCACUCCUCUCCAGCGGGGAAGGAAUUCGCUCUCCUGGAAAUGGAGCAGCUGAGGUCUCCGUGUCCUGGGUGGCGCAAGGGAGUGUUUGCAAGGCAGACUUUAAUGAACUGAUUAGAAGUGGAGGGACGGGGAUGGCCCCUGGGAGCUUACAUCAGCCAGGCACAGGUUCAAGUCCCCAGCAAGGCCACUCACAGUCCCUGGCAGUGAACAAGAAAGAGUGAGGUUAGCCUCCUAGCACCGCCGAGGGUGAAAAGAGCAGCUAUCAGACAAUGUAAGUGACCGAAUGCGGAACCAGACUAUCCCAUGGCACACCCCUGAACCUCAGCGGAUAGAAUGCCUGCUGGUCAUGCAUAAAAAUCCAGGUUGGACACCUAUAAUCCCAGCACUCAGGAGGCAGAGGCGGGAAGAUCAGAAGUUCAAGGUCAUCCUCAACACAAGAAGUCGGAGGUCUGGCGCGUUUUGUUUUCUUGUUCCGAGGGCAGCAGGACUGCAUGGACAGAAUGGCUGAAGAGAGGGCGCAGGGAACAUGUCGGAGUAGAGGUAUGCAGCCCUGGGCCCACAUUCCUGAUGGACUGGCCCCCUGGGGGCUGCAGAACAGGCAUCUACACUGGGGGCUCCCUACACUGGGGGCUCCAGGUUCCCCACCUGUAAAAUGGGGUGUGACAGCGUCCUUCCCAAGGUGAGGAAAGUCACUGCCUUGUGUGACCUCUGGCCUCGGCCUGGUGAGAGACAGCUAGGCAUGCCUCCAGCCACCAGAGACCUACAGGCAAAGGGAACACUUAGUGGGCCCCGCGAUAGAAAGCAAGCCGCUGAAAGAGUCAGGCACAAGUAGCUAGGAGAUCGCCUAAGGAUUACGUUUAGGGAACGUGGGUCUUCCGUAAAACCUGGGUGGUAAGAGGGAUGGUGCGUGGUAGGGGGUCAGGAGGGAAAAUAACAAUCAGAGCAGCUGUCAAGGUCCGGCGAGGGACACAAUUGUCAGUACUGAGCCUGUACCGAGCUUGGUGACAGAAGGAGUUGUGGUAGUAUCUGGAGUCAGGUCCCAUGAGGUCCCGUAAGGAAGUUGGAUUAUUUUCUCGCUGUCAUGAAGAGACACGGGGAGGUUUAAAGCAGAGGCCUGGUGUGUUGUGGCUAGAAGAUCUCUUUAGCUCUUAGUGGGGAAGUAACUGUGGGGUGCAGUGGGGGCCAGAAAUCCUGACCAGGGGCUCCUCCAGCCUGGGAGCAGACAGCAGCUCCUACCAAGGCAUGAGUGGGUGGUCUUGUUGCUCCAUCCUGCAUAUCCCUGUCCUCUGAGGAACUUCAGUGACUGUCAAAUGCCUGGUGUAACCUGCAGGCUCAAGUACAGCCAGUGUCUAGCUCUAGGCUAGGGGAGUAUGAAGAGACCCUCCCUAUGUCAGUACAGUCAGACCUUGACAAGAACUGUUGGCGUCUCUGCUCAUUGAGGUUCAGUGUCCCCCAAAUCACUCAACCCAUGCCAGAAGGUUCAGAAGGGAGCUGGUCUGGUCACACAGGCAGAGGACAGCAGCACUGUCUUGGUAUGGGCAGCAAGAGUGCCCUCUGGAGAGGGAACCAGAGGCAGGACUCUGUGCACAGCCUCAUAUCCACUCACUACAGCUCUCAGAAACAGGCUCCGGUUAUUUGUAGGUGCAUAUAUUAAGGCUGUGGCCAUGUGGUGAGAAGGUGCCACCAGAGAGCCCCAUCUUUCACAAUGGCCCCAUGGAACAUCUUUUCCACAGCCCAGCCUCUUCUGUGGCUGUGUUUCCUUAAGGCCCAGAAGUCAAGGAAACUCACAAGUCUCAGGGAGUUCCCCAGACUUACAAGAUUCCAAGACCCCACCCCAAAGUUAUUUCAGCAGGAUCAAUUGCUACAGUAAAAAGACUUGGGAAAAAACUCAAUGCCUUCAGUUCACACAGGGAGCUCCAGGGAUGUGACUCUGGUGACAACCCAUACAGGUGGGAGUGGGCUCUUUGGUGAUGCUGGAGAUAUUCUCUAAGUAAUGUCAAUC